AGACUUGACGCAGUUUCAUCUCAUUCCUGAGGUAUCCUGAGCCCCUCAGUGCCAUACUUCUGCGUGAGUGCUGUGAACUGGAGCAAAUGGGUUGAAAAUGGCCAGAAGUUGCUCUUGGUCUCUUUAGAUCUUUUAUGACAAAGAAAAAAAUUGAAUUUCUGACCAGUUAAAAUCCAUUUGAGCCAGUUUAAGCUAAUUAUGCAGAACUGGAGCCUGAGGUCGGUAAAUCCAGGAAGAUGGCUGAAUACUAUGCUGACUCAAGUACAGACAAGGAGCCAGGUAUUUAUAAAAGUUGAAAGUAAUCUGAGAGAAGGAAAAAAGUCUGAUUAAGGAAGCAGGAAAAUAUAGGAAGUAGGGUUGGUAGAGGGAAGGCUCAGAAGAGGUUGGUGCAACCAGAAACAAUUUUUUUUUAGAGGUUGAGAGGUCAUUUCUAGGAAGCAAUGCAGGGUUUGGGGCUCUAAAUUCAGGUGUCUAGGAGACAGUCUGAAUGCUGACAUCAUCUGGUAGGCUGGAGCUGAGACUGGGUGAUUUGUGGUGCAGUGAUGCUGUCUGGCUCUGCAGGCCUGCUCCUAGGCCAUUCUUUAUAUGUGUGUCACCUCAGGCUUUUUGAUAGUUCCAAGCCUACAAAUGGCCAUCCUUUCACCUCUUUAACUGAGCUGGUCAUUUAAAUUAGGAGGGAGUGAGCAAUUUUGAAGAAAUAGCAAAUAAGAAUAAGUAAGACAGGUGUGCAUGAAUGAGUUGAUUAGAAUUGAGUUGGGGCGCUCACUUUCUAAUUUCUGUUUCAGCAGGGUAGUUGGGGAAGUGGCAGGUUGAGAAUAGUACCUCUUUUCUCAUCCCUGGCAUGGGUUAUCCUCAGGGCUGUAGGUUGAUGUAGAAACUAGCAUAUGUGGUCUGGAUUUCUGUCAUGUGCCUGUGUUCCUGCUCUUUGUGGGGAGUGCAGUGAAAAGGUUGAGGCUGAGGCAUGGAGGAUGAAAACAAUGAUAUUUUCACAGACUGCAGCAUUUCUGAUGCAGUGGGACAGUGGGCAGGCCUGAUGACUUGAUGACGACUGAUGUUCUGCUGCAAGAUGGAGGGUGGGGUUGGAGCUGGCUGGUGCAGCUGCUAGGGGGUGCAUGUGAUUCUCUGGCUCCCUUCUUGGAAGCAGCAAAAGAAAGCUUUCCUAGAAUGAUCUAGAAACUUGGCUGCCUGGGAGGGAAGUUGAUCUUUAAUAUAAAUAUAUGUUUGGAGAAUUUGUUAGGAUUCUGUAUGUUUAGGAAGGUUGCUUCAGUUAGCCACUGCCCAUUUCUCCAAAGGGAGGAUGGCGGCCAUUUUACUGAAGGCAGCUGAAUGGCCUUUCCAGGAUUGAGGUGGAAAAAUUAGAAGGUUUAGAGUCAGAUAACCCAGGCUUUGAGUGUCAUCCCUGUUAUUUGCUAUGUGAACUUUGAGUAAAUUAACCUCCUAAUACUUGUUAUGAUAUUUUAUAGUCUUCCUUAGAGUUUCAUGCCUUUGGGGGCAAAGUAGCUGACAUUCAACCUUUUUGUUUUUAUUGAUCUGGAUUGUGUGGCAGAGAUUAUUUUUGUGUAUGUGUAUGUGCAUAUAGUUUAUCCUGAUACAGAUAAUUUCUUCCUAAAUUAUUUUAAAUUAAUGCUUCUCCACAAAUGAUACCACUGGACUUUUUUGAAGAUCAAAGGGAAAAUUACUUAAUGGAGAUUUUUAUAAACUAUAAAACAUAUAUGAGAAUAUUUGCUGUUUUUAUGAUAACUUGUUGAUUAUUACCCAAGCAGUACUGGAGAAACCCAGUGUAAAAUUCUUCUGGUGUUACACACUCACAGCUUUCUUGGAUUCCAGCUUCACUUCUUCCUUGACUUCACCCUGGCCCUGUGGUGACUGGAGGCUUUGUGAUAUGGUAUGCUGCAUCAUGAGCCAUGGGGGCCCAAGAUGGGAGAUGCAGGAGUCGGGGAGCUGGGGAUUGUGUCAGAGAUGUGGGUGUGACUGGGAUGGGGUAUCACAAUCUGCCUUUUAGCCAUAAAAAUGUAGUAAGCUACCUGAUUUCAAGACCAGCUUUGGUCACCUUACCUGGUUCUGUUACUGGCCCUAUAAAAAGCAGGAUCAGGUAAAGGGUCAUCUGGAAGGGCAAUGAUAUGGGCUGUUGAGAAUGUGACUGUCCUGAUGCUGCCAUUCUUACCUGAGGAGCAGGACAGGAGGAAUAGCAGAGCUUCAGUUUG
rnacentral:lncRNA from 1 species